rnacentral:rRNA from 1 species
CAGGGUUCCCGUAGGUGAACCCUGCGGAAGGAUCAUUGUUGAGAGAGCAUUGAAUGAUGGAUGGUUGUGAACGUGUCAACGUGCCCUUUCCUUGCCCCAUAUGUUGGUGGGCAUUUGACCGUAGCUCGGUGCGAUCGGCACCAAGGAACAAUGAACUUAGAAGCAGAGGGCCCUCGACGUGCGCGUGGAGCCCAAUGCGUCGGAGAUGCCUCGGAAUCAAAUGACUCUCGGCAAUGGAUAUCUCGGCUCUUGCAUCGAUGAAGAACGUAGUGAAAUGCGAUACUUGGUGUGAAUUGCAGAAUCUCGUGAACCAUUGAGUCUUUGAACGCAAGUUGUGCCCGAGGCCUUGUGGCCGAGGGCACGCCUGCUUGGGCGUCAUGGCAUCGUCGCCUUUGCUCCUUGCUUUGCUGGUGCCAAGCGCGGAAAUUGGCCUCGUGUGCCCUCGGGCACAGUCGGUCGAAGUGUGGGUAGUCGGCAGUCGUCGGGCGCGAUGGGUGUUGGUCGCCCUGUGCGUGAACUGAACGUCGUCCCCGUCGUGUCGGGAUGAGUCCUCAAGUGAUUGCGGCGUCGCGUGAAAGUGCCGUGUCCGUCAUAUUGUGGCCCCAAGUCAGGCGAGGCCCACCCGCCGAGUUUAAGCAUAUAAAUAAGCGGAGGAGGAGAAACUUACGAGGAUUCCCCUAGUAACGGCGAGUGAACCGGGAUCGGCCCAGCUUGAGAAUUUGACG